UUAAGCGACUAAGCGUACACGGUGGAUGCCCUGGCAGUCAGAGGCGAUGAAGGACGUGCUAAUCUGCGAAAAGCGUCGGUAAGGUGAUAUGAACCGUUAUAACCGGCGAUGUCCGAAUGGGGAAACCCAGUGUGAUUCGUCACACUAUCGUUAACUGAAUACAUAGGUUAACGAGGCGAACCGGGGGAACUGAAACAUCUAAGUACCCCGAGGAAAAGAAAUCAACCGAGAUUCCCCCAGUAGCGGCGAGCGAACGGGGAGCAGCCCAGAGUCUGAAUCAGCUUGUGUGUUAGUGGAACGGUCUGGAAAGUCCGACGGUACAGGGUGAUAGUCCCGUACACCAAAAUGCACAGGUUGUGAACUCGAAGAGUAGGGCGGGACACGUGGUAUCCUGUCUGAAUAUGGGGGGACCAUCCUCCAAGGCUAAAUACUCCUGACUGACCGAUAGUGAACCAGUACCGUGAGGGAAAGGCGAAAAGAACCCCGGCGAGGGGAGUGAAAAAGAACCUGAAACCGUGUACGUACAAGCAGUGGGAGCACCUUCGGGUGUGACUGCGUACCUUUUGUAUAAUGGGUCAGCGACUUAUAUUCUGUAGCAAGGUUAACCGUAUAGGGGAGCCGCAGGGAAACCGAGUCUUAACUGGGCGUUAAGUUGCAGGGUAUAGACCCGAAACCCGGUGAUCUAGCCAUGGGCAGGUUGAAGGUUGGGUAACACUAACUGGAGGACCGAACCGACUAAUGUUGAAAAAUUAGCGGAUGACUUGUGGCUGGGGGUGAAAGGCCAAUCAAACCGGGAGAUAGCUGGUUCUCCCCGAAAGCUAUUUAGGUAGCGCCUCGUGAACUCAUCUUCGGGGGUAGAGCACUGUUUCGGCUAGGGGGUCAUCCCGACUUACCAACCCGAUGCAAACUACGAAUACCGAAGAAUGUUAUCACGGGAGACACACGGCGGGUGCUAACGUCCGUCGUGAAGAGGGAAACAACCCAGACCGCCAGCUAAGGUCCCAAAGUCAUGGUUAAGUGGGAAACGAUGUGGGAAGGCACAGACAGCCAGGAUGUUGGCUUAGAAGCAGCCAUCAUUUAAAGAAAGCGUAAUAGCUCACUGGUCGAGUCGGCCUGCGCGGAAGAUGUAACGGGGCUAAACCAUGCACCGAAGCUGCGGCAGCGACACUAUGUGUUGUUGGGUAGGGGAGCGUUCUGUAAGCCUGCGAAGGUGACCUGUGAGGGUUGCUGGAGGUAUCAGAAGUGCGAAUGCUGACAUAAGUAACGAUAAAGCGGGUGAAAAGCCCGCUCGCCGGAAGACCAAGGGUUCCUGUCCAACGUUAAUCGGGGCAGGGUGAGUCGACCCCUAAGGCGAGGCCGAAAGGCGUAGUCGAUGGGAAACAGGUUAAUAUUCCUGUACUUGGUGUUACUGCGAAGGGGGGACGGAGAAGGCUAUGUUAGCCGGGCGACGGUUGUCCCGGUUUAAGCAUGUAGGCUGGUUGUCCAGGCAAAUCCGGAUAAUCAAGGCUGAGGUGUGAUGACGAGGCACUACGGUGCUGAAGUAACAAAUGCCCUGCUUCCAGGAAAAGCCUCUAAGCAUCAGGUAACAUUAAAUCGUACCCCAAACCGACACAGGUGGUCAGGUAGAGAAUACCAAGGCGCUUGAGAGAACUCGGGUGAAGGAACUAGGCAAAAUGGUGCCGUAACUUCGGGAGAAGGCACGCUGGUGUGUAGGUGAAGUCCCUGCGGAUGGAGCUGAGACCAGUCGAAGAUACCAGCUGGCUGCAACUGUUUAUUAAAAACACAGCACUGUGCAAACACGAAAGUGGACGUAUACGGUGUGACGCCUGCCCGGUGCCGGAAGGUUAAUUGAUGGGGUUAUCCGUAAGGAGAAGCUCUUGAUCGAAGCCCCGGUAAACGGCGGCCGUAACUAUAACGGUCCUAAGGUAGCGAAAUUCCUUGUCGGGUAAGUUCCGACCUGCACGAAUGGCGUAAUGAUGGCCAGGCUGUCUCCACCCGAGACUCAGUGAAAUUGAACUCGCUGUGAAGAUGCAGUGUACCCGCGGCAAGACGGAAAGACCCCGUGAACCUUUACUAUAGCUUGACACUGAACAUUGAGCCUUGAUGUGUAGGAUAGGUGGGAGGCUUUGAAGCGUGGACGCCAGUCUGCGUGGAGCCAACCUUGAAAUACCACCCUUUAAUGUUUGAUGUUCUAACGUUGGCCCCUUAUCGGGGUUGCGGACAGUGUCUGGUGGGUAGUUUGACUGGGGCGGUCUCCUCCCAAAGCGUAACGGAGGAGCACGAAGGUUAGCUAAUCCUGGUCGGACAUCAGGAGGUUAGUGCAAUGGCAUAAGCUAGCUUGACUGCGAGCGUGACGGCGCGAGCAGGUGCGAAAGCAGGUCAUAGUGAUCCGGUGGUUCUGAAUGGAAGGGCCAUCGCUCAACGGAUAAAAGGUACUCCGGGGAUAACAGGCUGAUACCGCCCAAGAGUUCAUAUCGACGGCGGUGUUUGGCACCUCGAUGUCGGCUCAUCACAUCCUGGGGCUGAAGUAGGUCCCAAGGGUAUGGCUGUUCGCCAUUUAAAGUGGUACGCGAGCUGGGUUUAGAACGUCGUGAGACAGUUCGGUCCCUAUCUGCCGUGGGCGCUGGAGAAUUGAGGGGGGCUGCUCCUAGUACGAGAGGACCGGAGUGGACGCAUCACUGGUGUUCGGGUUGUCAUGCCAAUGGCACUGCCCGGUAGCUAAAUGCGGAAGAGAUAAGUGCUGAAAGCAUCUAAGCACGAAACUUGCCCCGAGAUGAGUUCUCCCUGAGACUUUAAGUCUCCUGAAGGAACGUUAAAGACGAUGACGUUGAUAGGCCGGGUGUGUAAGCGCAGCGAUGCGUUGAGCUAACCGGUACUAAUGAACCGUGAGGCUUAACCUU
rnacentral:rRNA from 1 species